AAAGCAAAGUAAAAGUUUCAAGAUGAAAUACUUAGCUCUCGUUGUAGCGCUCGUUAUUGUCAGUUACAUUCAUCUAUCAGAAUGUCAAUCAGAGUUAACGGAGGAUAUACCCAAAUAUCGAACGAUUAGUUUCGGCUUAGGUAAUUUUGAACGUAUUCGGGAAGUCGCACAGGAACUCCUUGGUACCCACAGUAAAUGUCUUGAUGAAGCGCAAUGGGCGCCAUUGCAUAAAGAUGUAGAGGAUAUGAUAAAAGUUUCCGCGAAUGUUAUUACCGUUUGUUUAGCUGAAAAUUUAUUGCAAUGCAUCAAGGUGAAAUAUGAAGGAGCUAAAUCAGUGAUGUUCUUAAUAAUACAAGUUACUAAAAAACUUAAAGCACUUAGAGUAUCGGAAUGUAUAACCGAAAUAAUAAAAAAGUUUAAUAGAGAUAACAAUAUUCUUACAACGCUCUCCAACAAAAUGAACUAACAAUGUUUAUAUAAGUUAUACACUUAUUUGUUCAUAAUUAAAAACAUAAAACGAUUAAAAUCAAAUAUUUGGUUAA
rnacentral:sRNA from 1 species